rnacentral:tRNA from 1 species
GGAGAGAUGGCCGAGCGGUUUAAGGCGCACGAUUGGAAAUCGUGUGAGUGAUAAGCUCCGAGGGUUCGAAUCCCUCUCUCUCCGCCA